UACGUAGGGUGCAAGCGUUAAUCGGAAUUACUGGGCGUAAAGCGUGCGCAGGCGGUUUUGUAAGUCUGUCGUGAAAUCCCCGGGCUCAACCUGGGAAUUGCGAUGGAGACUGCAAGGCUAGAAUCUGGCAGAGGGGGGGUAGAAUUCCACGUGUAGCAGUGAAAUGCGUAGAGAUGUGGAGGAACACCGAUGGCGAAGGCAGCCCCCUGGGUCAAGAU
rnacentral:rRNA from 1 species